AGACUCAACAAGAUUGAGAGUUUGGCGUGAUCAUCUGAGCUUGAGUUAGAGGUCGAGUCGGAGACGGACAGCAGCUAUUGUAGUCCAAGGCGGAGAAAAAGCUGUACCGCUAAGGCUUGUUUAAAUGGAUUGGAUCCGGUCCCGGAUCUUGCACUCUGUCUCUUGCGUCUGCAAUUAGAUAGCAGCUUCAAUCCUCAUAUUAUCCUAGCUCCGAUUUCAGACUUUAAUAAACCUUACCCAGAUCUGCUGCUGCGGGUUCAGAACUGGCGUCGUUAUGUCUCCACCGCCAAGCCCUGCUGUCAAUUUUUACAGAGGUUACAGAAUCAUUAAGGGUGAGGCUUUGUAUUCUUCACUUGGCAUGUUGGAUUGGUAGCUUAGGAUUUGUAUUUCUUUUUGGAAGUGGUGGUGGCAAAGUUUUGAUACGGUGGAAGAAGAAAAGCAAGGCAGCAAGGGAAGCUUUUUAUGUGAUGGGUUUUGUUGCGUUUGGAGGAAGAGAAUGUACUGCAUAGGUUGUGAUAUAGGAACUCGGCCGUUCAUGAACGACCCUAUGUUCCAAUAUUUAAAACCCCAACAGCCAUGUUGCAUUAAGACGUUGGCCGUUCAUGAACGACCAUGUUAGUCUUAAUUCAAGAGAAGAUCGCUCGGCCGUUCUUGAACGACCAUGGUUGUCUCAAAAAGGUGUUGGUUGCUCAUGAACAGGCCCUUUUUGCUUGAAGAAAACCUGUUAACUCCUUGCCGAAGCAAGCAAGAGCAACAUGAUGCAGUGUAUACCUGAACUUCUCCCUUCAAGCUGUUUUGAUUUCGCUCUCUAUUUUGGCAGAGUCUUGGCCUCUUGUUUACUGAAUAUUUCUCUCUUCUCCCCUCCUUUCUCUUCACCGUUGCCACCUUUAUAUAAGGGUGGUUCGAUAAGUGAAGCUGGAUAGCUGAUAACCACUUUGUAUUUGAAUUUGAAUAACAAGCUUAACUCUAUCACUUGUUAUCUGUUGAAUGGGUCAAAAACUUGGCCAAGUCUUGAAUCAAGGCUACCAGAACAUUAUCUCUUAUUGCUUGAUGUCAUUUGAACUUGUCGAAGCUAAAGGACUUUGAAUAAUUUUUGAAUAGUA